rnacentral:rRNA from 1 species
UACGUAGGGGGGCAAGCGUUGUCCGGAUUUAUUGGGCGUAAAGAGCGUGUAGGCGGCCAGGUAGGUCCGUUGUGAAAACUAGAGGCUCAACCUCUAGACGUCGAUGGAAACCAUCUGGCUAGAGUCCGGAAGAGGAGAGUGGAAUUCCUGGUGUAGCGGUGAAAUGCGCAGAUAUCAGGAAGAACACCCGUGGCGAAGGCGGCUCUCUGGGACGGUACUGACGCUGAGACGCGAAAGCGUGGGGAGCGAACAGG